rnacentral:rRNA from 1 species
GGCAAGGUAGUCGCGGUGCAGAAACAACCAGGAGGUUGGCUUAGAAGCAGCCAUCCUUUAAAGAAAGCGUAACAGCUCACUGGUCUAAAUAAGGGUUCCUGCGCCGAAAAUGUAACGGGGCUCAAGCCACGAGCCGAAGCUUAGGGUGUGAUCCGUUGAGGAUCACGCGGUAGCGGAGCGUUCUCUAGGCCUGUGAAGCGGCACCUGCGAGGGGCCGUGGAGGUAUGAGAAGUGCGAAUGCUGACAUGAGUAACGACAAACAGUGUGAGAGACACUGUCGCCGAAAGUCCAAGGGUUCCUGCGUAAAGUUAAUCUCCGCAGGGUUAGCCGGCCCCUAAGGCGAGGCCGAAAGGCGUAGUCGAUGGGAAUGAGGUGAAUAUUCCUCAGCCAGUUGGUAGUGACGGAUCCCGUACGCUGUCAGAUCUUAUUGGAUUGAUCUGGCUUCCAAGGGGUUCCAGGAAAUAGCUCCAACAUGAGACCGUACCCUAAACCGACACAGGUGGACUGGUAGAGUA